rnacentral:rRNA from 1 species
AUUGAACGCUGGCGGAAUGCUUUACACAUGCAAGUCGAACGGCAGCACGGGGCAACCUGGUGGCGAGUGGCGAACGGGUGAGUAAUACAUCGGAACGUGCCCAGUCGUGGGGGAUAACGUAGCGAAGGCUACGCUAAUACCGCAUACGAUCCAAGGAUGAAAGCGGGGGAUCGCAAGACCUCGCGCGAUUGGAGCGGACGAUGGCAGAUGAGGUAGGUGGUGGGGUAAAGGCUAACCAAGCCGACGAUCUGUAGCUGGUCUGUGAGGACGACCAGCCACACUGGGACUGAGACACGGCCCAGACUCCUACGGGAGGCAGCAGUGGGGAAUUUUGGAUAAUGGGCGCAAGCCUGAUCCAGCCAUUCCGCGUGCAGGAUGAAGGCCUUCGGGUUGUAAACUGCUUUUGUACGGAACGAAAAGGUGCCUUCUAAUACAGGGCGCUCAUGACGGUACCGUAAGAAUAAGCACCGGCUAACUACGUGCCAGCCGCCGCUGUAAUAC